UACAGAGGGUGCAAGCGUUGUUCGGAAUUACUGGGCGUAAAGCGCGUGUAGGCGGCUUAUUAAGUCGGACGUGAAAUCCCUAGGCUCAACCUAGGAACUGCGUCCGAUACUGGUAGGCUUGAGUAUCGGAGGGGGUGGCGGAAUUCCCGGUGUAGAGGUGAAAUUCGUAGAUAUCGGGAGGAACACCUGUGGCGAAGGCGGCCACCUGGAAGAUAACUGACGCUGAGACGCGAAAGCGUGGGGAGCGAACAGG
rnacentral:rRNA from 1 species